rnacentral:lncRNA from 1 species
CUCACUAAAGGAAGCUAAAAGCUGUGCUGAUGCCUCCCAGACGAGCCUCGUUGGAAGCACAGAACCUUCACGGCUCGGAGCCGCUGACACCGUGACAAAGGGAGCCCUGCUCAGGAGAAAGAGCAAAUGAGAGGCAGUUGCACUUUUUCAGGUGUCAGGCUGGAGGAAGCCACUUGAAGAUGAAUCUACCUCUGCCUUAGGAUUGCCUGAUGGCCUGUGCCAUUCCAUGUUAUAUCUACUGAUUUGCUCCCUGUAUUCAAAGAUUUUUUUUUUUUACUUAAUUCUCUCUUACUGACCCUGAGAGUGACCAUAUUUUUAACCAAUUUGGUCUUCAGCCUCAAAACUUAGCUCUUUCCUUUUGUGGUCCCCGAAUCCUAUCACGUGUCAUGGUGGCUGUGAAGAUGUUUGCCAAGCCUGCUGAGAAGGCUCAUCUGUGGCAUCCAAAAGCAGAGAUUUCAACUCUGGACCCCUGUGACCUGCCUUUGUAAUUAUGGAUACCCAGCACUGUUUUGAAAUAUCAGUGGACAUCCAGUUUUUAAAAGCCCUCAGAGCUUUGGGAGACACCCCUUUAUCUCUCUGGCAUGUCAGAGAACCGAUUCAACCCUUCUCAUCUCCUCCUCCUUCCCUCUCUUGGGCCAUCAGGAUGCGGCAGCAACUCACUGUGCAUGUUUUUACAGCUCUUCUCCAGUAAUGCUGCCAUUUCCACUGCAGACCACAGGAUAAAAGGACCGCUUCACCGUGGCCCAGGAUACCCUUUUAAGUAGGAGAGGGAGAAGAAAGUACUGCUUUGAUCUAAAAUUAAGCAAACGUUCUUCAAUAAACCCACCAUGAGACUUGACCACUAAUGGUGACCAGCAGUGGCUUUGUCAUGGCCCUGCCCACUGGGGGCAGGCACAUGCCGGGGCCAGGGCAGGCUGCCAGCUGAGAGGAUUAUUGGCAACUGGCACCACCCCCAUGUCUGGAGGAGGGACGUUUCUAGGAUGACCCCCAGAGUGGAGAAAUAGCCGAGCUCAUGAGGCAACCCACACAGGCAGGCUGGAGAGGAGUGGCAAGAAGCUCACCUUCGGACAGUAGUGAGCAGAGCAACAGAGGCCCCCAGAGACUUCGCACAACGGAAAAGAGAUCAACUCCCGCAUUUGCAGGGGACGUGAAAGUGCAAUACUGUGAGGAACAAAAGGAAGCCUCAUCUCUGGAAGCCGGGAGGAAAAACAGUCGGUGUAGACAGCAGCGGCAGGGACCAGAGCUGACCAGAAGGCUGGGUCCCAGCAACAAUUAGAGACAGGCAGCAGCUGAGGCCCCUUCUCUGAGAACCAUUUCAAUUGCACAGUGGCCACAGAAGGCUCCAUUGGCCCGGCAGCCAGCUCUGCAGAGCCAUUUGUCCACAAGGAAAAUAAUAGCCCCGGCCUCAUUGCUUUGGGCUGCAGGGAGGACAAUGACCCACCAUGAAAAGAGUUAAAAAGAUUCUGGGGAAGGGGAAAGGCAGGCCCACACGGUGGCAAUUCAAGAUCUUUUGGAUGCCGUGAGCGUGUUCUUUAAUUAAGCCCCUCUUCUUCAGCUCAUCCUGCAGAAACGCACCUGCUUCCCAUCUGCCAUCC